GUGAGUUUGUAGCCCAGCUGUCUCCCCCAAGCCCCGCUGGCAGGAAUGGAAACCCAAGCUCUCUCGUAAUGCAGGGGAUGAUGCAAACUUAGAAACUGACCCGGCGCCCGGGAAUGAGGCCCCCCCGCCCCGGGCGUGCGGCGGCCCAGUCGGGGCAUGAAUGGCUGGAGCCCGAUUGCAUAAUCCGCGCGGUAUAAAUAGCCGGCGGGCGGGCCGCUGACGCGCUCGGUUGUGCCGUUAUCGUGCAAUGCUUCAUCCCCGGUGCCGUUCAAUCCCAGGUUGGAGUGCAGUGGUGCUGUGUCUGGAGUUUGUUCCUGCCGUUGGGUUUGUGGUCUUGCUGACUUCAAGAAUGAAGCCACGGACCUUCACGAGAAAUAUUACGUUGUAUGGAUGUACCACUGUUUGUUUAUCCAUUCUUCAGGUGAAGGACAUGUGGGUUGUGCCCAGCGCGGGCUGAAUAAAGAUACACACACAGGCACAUUGGAAACGCAGUAGAAAAUGGCUGCCAAUUUAAAACCAGAAGUUAAGAAGAGCAAACUCGAAUGUACAGCAAGAGAGCUUCAGGCUGGACUGGCUUCCAGCAGAAGUGGGACUGGAAACCUCGGAUUCUAUUGUCUCUUCUCUGUGAAGUGGGAAAACAUGUCAGUAUCUGAACUUGAGCUUGGUAAUUACUGCUCAUUUCUCAACCUUUUCCAAGCCACGUAACUCCCCUAAGGCUUAGUUUUCUUAUCUGUGAAUUGCGAGAUGGUAUGUUCUUCAUCACGAGGUUGCUAUAAAGACUGAAUGAGAUAAUGUGUGUGGAAGCACCAAGCAUGGUCCUUGGCAUGCAGUAGAUGCUCAAUAAAUAUGAACUGGAGUACACAUGCACUCUGCUCCCUCCUGCCCCCUCAUAGUGCCUGGUCUGGCUCUGGGCUCCCUGGGAUAUGGCAGGUUACCAAAGCAGGCACUAAGGCAUGUCUACCCUUGGUACCUUAUUACCUAGGUUUCCUGUGCCACCUGCUUCAUUCUAAUCGCAGAUUUCAGGCUCCAUUCAAACAGAACCUCACUUCUGCUAGCUGUCAUGCUCAAAAAGGGACUGAUGACCACUGAAGCAGGCUAUGAUAGUGAUUUAUGAAUGUCAUUCCUCCAGACAGCAUUUGGAUUAUUACUGGUUUUGCUUUUAUUUUAUUUGGCG
rnacentral:lncRNA from 10 species